UGACCUUGUACUCACCGAGGA
rnacentral:miRNA from 1 species